rnacentral:rRNA from 1 species
GACGAACGCUGGCGGCGUGCUUAACACAUGCAAGUCGAACGGAAAGGCCCUGCUUUUGUGGGGUGCUCGAGUGGCGAACGGGUGAGUAACACGUGAGUAACCUGCCCUUGACUUUGGGAUAACUUCAGGAAACUGGGGCUAAUACCGGAUAGGAUCUCCUGCUGCAUGGUGGGGGUUGGAAAGUUUCGGCGGUUGGGGAUGGACUCGCGGCUUAUCAGCUUGUUGGUGGGGUAGUGGCUUACCAAGGCUUUGACGGGUAGCCGGCCUGAGAGGGUUACCGGCCACAUUGGGACUGAGAUACGGCCCAGACUCCUACGGGAGGCAGCAGUGGGGAAUAUUGCACAAUGGGCGGAAGCCUGAUGCAGCAACGCCGCGUGCGGGAUGACGGCCUUCGGGUUGUAAACCGCUUUCGCCUGUGACGAAGCGUGAGUGACGGUAAUGGGUAAAGAAGCACCGGCUAACUACGUG